GCGGCAGGCUUAACACAUGCAAGUCGAGGGGUAACAGGGAUUGCUUGCAAUCCGCUGACGACCGGCGCACGGGUGCGUAACGCGUAUGCAACCUACCUUUUACAAGGGGAUAGCCCAGAGAAAUUUGGAAUAAUACCCUAUACGAUCAUCAAUUGGCAUCAAUUAAUGAAGAAAACUCCGGUGGUAAAAGAUGGGCAUGCGUCCUAUUAGUUAGUUGGUAAGGUAACGGCUUACCAAGACUUCGAUAGGUAGGGGCCCUGAGAGGGGGAUCCCCCACACUGGUACUGAGACACGGACCAGACUCCUACGGGAGGCAGCAGUGAGGAAUAUUGGACAAUGGAGGCAACUCUGAUCCAGCCAUGCCGCGUGCAGGAUGACGGCCCUAUGGGUUGUAAACUGCUUUUAUAUAGGAAGAAACCUUUUCACGUGUGAGAAGCUGACGGUACUAUAAGAAUAAGGACCGGC
rnacentral:rRNA from 1 species